AUAUCCACAGCCACUCGUUGAUCGCGUUUGUUUUCAGAGUUCAUUCGUUUUCUUCCUUCUUCAUUGGAUUUGUAUACCUCCCUCAUCCUCAUCAUGUUUGAGCAGCCUACACUCUCCCUAAUGGGUGAUUCGACCUAAUCCUAUUUUCAUACAAGUAUUUUUGCGGCGCUAAGUUACGAUGGAGGAAGAAGAAAUCACGGUUUAUCUGGUUGCAUUAGCCUACCCCGGUUCAUGUUCUGAGCUUGGUCAAUCAUUGUGGAAUUAAAGAGGAAAAUAUCAGGUUUUGCAGGACGUUUUUGUAUAGGGUUUGAAACAACAAUUUGAUUCAAUAAUAUUGGAUCAGCUCUUUCAAAUACGCGUAUCGGGACGUAUCGGGGUGUAUCGGUAUCAGAUACAUGUCGGAUACGAUACUUCACCAUUUUUGGAGUAUCGGGGCUUCAGAGGCUAACAUAAAUUAUUCUAUUUGUAAUUAAUUAGUUGUUCUCUGUUGGAAUUUAUUCAAAGGAACGUUACCAGCAGCCUAGACUCUCCCCAAUGGGCCCUUCACGAUCGCCGCUGCCACCGCAAAUGGAAAAAAAACUUCUUCUUGGGAAGAAGCGGAAGGAGCAAAAAGUAGAAAGGUAACUCUCUCUCUCUCUCAAACUUUAGGAUCAAUGUCUCUCUUUCUUUAGCAUGCAUACUUGAAGCAUGAGAAAGAGUGGAUGCUGAUUGAAGAAGAAAAAGAGCGUCUUGGGAAAGGGAAAAGAGGAGCUGUUACUGAUAAGUUGAAACCAUGUUAUGCUAUGCUCUUGGCCUGAGAAUAGAGGAGCAGUUACUGAUAGGUUGAAACCAUGUUAUGCUAUGCUCUUGGCCUGAGAAUUGUGUCAGUCUUUUGUACAAGAAUGUAGAAGAAUUAUUAUAAUUCUAAUUGUGUUAUGUUUCUUUGUUUUGUA